rnacentral:sRNA from 1 species
UGUCACCAAAUUUUAUGUACCUUUUGGAUUAAGUAUAUAUAUUUGAUUAUAUUCCCAAUGGCUUGGAGCAAUCAUUUUAUGGUUUUAAAAGUAGAAUAAGCAGUUAUAGUGUGAAUGUGUGAUAUUUAUUUUAAAAAUGUUUGAAGGACACUCAGACCAACUCCAACGGGAGUUUCUCAUAAAAUCUCUCACCAAUAAAAUAAGAAAAAAAUGUCAAAAGGAGGAGAGAGGUAAGGGAAAGUUUUCUUUAGAGAAACCAAGAAAAACUCAUCGACAACGUUUCUCACAGUUGUCAUUCAAUCAUUGGUUUAAUUAAAAUACUUUCCAAUUAAAU